rnacentral:rRNA from 1 species
CACGGGGGUUGCGAGCGUUGUCCGGAAUUACUAGGCGUAAAGGGCAGGUAGGCGGAUCCAUAAGUUUAAUGUUUAAGGCAACGGCUCACCCGUUGUAAGGCAUUAGAUACUGUGGAUCUGGAAUGCGGUUGGGGAAGACAGAAUUCCUGGUGUAGCGGUGGAAUGCGCAGAGAUCAGGAGGAAUACCGAAGGCGAAGGCAGUCUUCCAAGCCGUUAUUGACGCUAAACUGCGAAGGUGUGGGUAUCAAACAGGAUUAGAUACCCUGGUAGUCCACACAGUAAACGAUAAUCACUAGGUGUCGGGUUCGUAGAGGAUUCGGUGCCGUAGCUAACGCGAUAAGUGAUUCGCCUGGGGAGUACGAUCGCAAGGUUGAA